GCUGGAGCCGGGGCCCCGCGGCCGCCUCCUGGGGCAGAAUGGAACAGCCUGGGCCCAGGGCUCCGGAUCCCUCUCUCUGCCGCCACAAUCUCCAGCCAACUCUGAAGGUCAAGAGCCUGAAAUCAAGGUCUGGACAAGUCUGCACUCCCUCUACAGGCCCUAGGGGAGAAGUGGUCCUUGCCUCUUCCAGCUUCAGCAGGUGACCCCAGCUGGGAUUCGUAUGCUACCACUAUGAGGACUGCAUUCACGCCUAAAACAGGAGCAGUGCCUGCCUUAAUUCGCCAAAAUGGUAUCAGAAGAUUAGGAUAUACAUAUUCACUUAUUGAUCCUAUUCUCAAUCAGACACAAUAUAGUGAUGAGUAUACUUGGAAAUCACACUCUAAAGAAGAUUUGAUCAAAACUGAGACUUCAAGUGGAAUCAAGAGCCACAAAUCUCAUCUCAAUGAAGACAUUUUCCUGUGGACACUACCUCACUGUCAACAAACGGGGACACUAAACAACUGCCUCCCUUGGAAAAUCCCUGCUUCAAUGAAAGAAGUUAAGAAGGCACUAUCAAAUCAGUUUAUUUCCCUUACUAAGAGAGACUUUGUGGACAGAUCAAAAGCUCAGAAGAUUAAGAAAAGUUCUCACUUGUCUCUGGAAAGGAAAAAGUUACUUCCCCAACCUCCAGACACCGAAUUCCGAAGGAAUUACCAAAUUCCAGCUAAAAUUCCUGAGCUUCAAGAUUUCAGUUUCAAAUAUGGAUGCUACUCAAGCUUGCCCCUUGCUUCUCAGGGUCUAGUGCCUUCUGUGCUGCACAGCUACCUGAGGAACCAAGAGCACACGAAGAAACAGACCACGUACCAAAGUGACUACAACAAAACCUACCCAGAUUUCUUAAUGCUUUUAAACUCAUUUACUUCCUCUCAAGUCAAAGAGUACCUUCAGAGUGUUUCCCACAAAGAUAGACAAAUUAUUGAUCGCUUUAUUCGUACUCACUGUGACACUAACAAAAAGAAGAAAUGAAAAGGGAAAAUAGUACAAAUGAAGAAAAUCUGAAAAUCAAUGGAAGCACGAGGACAUUCCUAGUCAUUUUCUCAAUUAUCAAGGAAAAAUAAGGUGCAAAUAGCUUCAAGUUUUUGGAUUUCUGAUGACCGAUGGCUCUACCCAGACUCACUAUCUGGUCCUGUGGCCCCCACCCAGGAAUUGACUCAUCGCAAGGGCACAGCGUCAAUUCCCUAUGAUUUCAUCUUUGACCCAACCAAUCAGCACUCCCCGCUCCCUGGCCCCCUACCCGCCAAACUAUCUUUGAAAAAACCUAGUCUUAGAAUUUUUGGAUAGACUAAUCCGUGUAAUAAUAAACCUAUGGUCUCCCGUUCAUCUGA